GGGGAUGCCGGGCAUCGAUAAUAAGAUCUGCUUUUAGAUAUUCAAGACGGGUUUAGGUUAAACCGUAAAAAUAACCAAAAACAUACAUGCCAAAAAUACUGGCAGGGCGUUUACUUGGAAAGUUCCGAGUUUCGCUCCCGUUAUGGCUUAAUUAAAAAAUAGCCGUAACCAUCGGCGCGGAGAGGCUUCAGCUCCGUCAACCGGUGUCAUAAUUUGAAGCUUUGAAAAUUUCAGCCCUCUCCUGGAGUUUUUAAGAUAAAGAGAGGUGACCGGCGUUGCUUUUGUCCGGUUUCCGAUAACGUCGGCGACUCCAAUAAAUCGGACUAUUCUUGUAAAUAUAUCUAAGGGCACUUAUUAGACAUGGGUUCAACUCCCAUCAUCUCCAC
rnacentral:tmRNA from 1 species